UUGUGUUGUUGUAUUGCAUUGAAUUAUACUUCAUCCAAACACUUCCAGGUGUGUCCGUAUUCAUUUCAAAAACGUUUCCAAUAAAUUUUAUGUUAUUUGUAUGUUUUUCAGACAAAGAAGGGCAAGAGGAUGAACCUGAUUACACAAUUGCAAAGACGAGGGCUGCUAGCAAUAACUGCAGCCUGAGAGGCUGGAAGGUGCGCCUCACAGCUGUCGGCUUCUUUUUCGCGCUUGCUCUAGUAGGUUGGUCCUCCAUCUCCCAAAAAAAGAAGCGACAAUCGUCCACAAGCCCACCAUGAGUUUGUAAUUUGACUUCAAAUGUGCUUGCUCUAGUAGCUAAGCACUCUUAACCGCUUGAGAUAUAAAAGCCCAUUGCAACUAGAUACUGAACUUCAAAUGUGUUCAACGCCAUCAAAUAUAGCAUAAAAUACAUCCAGCAUUAGGUUCCAAGCCCACUAUUGAAAAUCAUGUUCAUCCACUCUACACAUCCAAGGCAGCAAACUAACUAGGAUACCAGGUUGGGAGGAUACAAUCAUUAACAAUUUCAAAAGCUAUAAAUGCAAUCCGAAUACAUGGCAAGUAGGGGUAAGCAUGUGAACAAAAAAAUCAGUGAACAUAAUCAAAUCCAAUACGUCAAUUUUGGCCUAGAUUGAAAUGAAAAAAACAAGGAAAUGCUUUGUGUAUCGAUUUGUUUAUGAAGGAAAUAAAACAUAUUUCAUGGAAAGAAAACCUGUGGUUACCUUUGUCUUCCUCUGCCAUUUGUCUAUCGAUUUGUUUCUGAAAGUGGCUAUUCUACAAGAUACAACAUGACAGGUCUUAGUUAGACCAAGUAAACGGCAUGGAAAUGCUUUCUGAAGCAAGAAUGUGUACUCAAGAGCUUUGUGCCAGAGAGGUCGUCGUACCCAGUGCACAAGGCUCCCGCUUUACGCAGGGUCUGGGAGAGGUGAAUGUCGGCUAGCCUUACCCCUAUUUAUGGAGAGGACUUAAGAAAAAUGAAAAAAACAAUAUAGAAUAUGGGUAAGAAUAAAUUUCGAUUAGACAAUAAUUCACUGUAUAAAUCGUUUUUUCAACUUUAAAGUGUGGCUUAAAAAGAAGCUUUAAACAAGUAGCAAUAAUUUCAUAUUGAAAAAUAAAACCUAUUUCAUGGAUAUUACAAGAGCCAUUAUUUUGAAAAACACACCUUUUGGUUCUUCACCACUUGACUUUUAAGAAGAUCUUCGUCCUUGUGACGAUUCAAAUUCUUUAAAAUAUCUCUACGACGGAAUAAACAAAACCAAUCUAGGCCAAAAUUGACUUGUUCGAUUUGAUUAUGUUCACUGAUUUUUCUGUUCACAUGUUUACCCCUACUUGCCAUAUAGUUUUGGGGUGUUAGUGCAUAGUGCUCUUCUCUUUACACACCAGUUUCAAUUUUAUUCUUCGUAAAUUAAGAGACCGUUUGAUAAUCAUUUCGUUUUCAAUUUAAAAAAUAUAAAAAACUAAAUGAAGUUUUCAACUAGAAUUUUCGCUUUUGGUUUUCAAUUUUAAUUUUUUUUAAAACAACUGAAAACUAAAAAUAGUUGCAAAAAGAAUUUUUCAUUUUUUUUUAAUUUAUAAAAAAGUAAAAACUGAAAACUCUAAACUAUAGACUAAAAAUUAAAAAGUGAAAUCGAAAUGGGCUCUCAACAAAAUUGAAAAAAGACUGGGCUGAAUUACUGAAUUCAAAGCAGGGCUUAUUAACGUUACGAGGCCCAAUGGAUCUGGAUAAAUAUUUUUCAUUUUUUUUUAACAAACGAUAUUAUUUAUAUAGGCUUAAUUUUACAGUGGGCUAACAAUAAUGUGGUUCAAAUUUGCUUUUCGCAAGAAUAGAACCUAAAACUUCUCACUUAUAAAUGAAGAGGAAUACCACUAAACCGUAGUCCUGAUAGAUUCGUUAUUUUAUUUUAUAUUUUAAGAAAAAAGAAAGAAAGCAAUGAAAAGCUGUACAUAAAAUAAAUACAAAAAGGAAUGAAAUGAAGAAGAGUGGGAGACUAAUGUUUAAUUCAAGAUAAAGAAAGAAAGCUGAUCGCACCACGACGGCGGCGACGUGGCGGUCAUUUAACGGAAAAUAACAGACAAAUCAGCCUCCAGAUCAAAUCUUGAAGCACAACUCUGAAAAAUCGAGACUACCAACAGCUGAGCUCCGACCAACCGUUGAUGGAUGCAAUCAGGAAGCUCAGAGAUCAGGUCGCCAAGCAACAGCAGGUACUCCCUCUCGUUUGAUUCCGAAUUUGUAUUUCUGUAUGGAUUUUGAUAUGAACAUAAUCUGCGUUGAUUGCGAGAUACUGAGAUUGCUUAAUGAAAUAAUAUUUAUAUAAUUGUUCGAGUUGAAUUGGAUCGAUUCGAAUUCAAAUAGAAUGUCACUAUUUCUGAGCUGUUUGGGGAUGUGUUGGAGUGCAAUGUUGAUGAAUUUCUGAAAUUUUGAGCUAGGUGUUGCUAAUUACUUAUCGAUUUUUGAUGUAAUUGGAUGCUUAAUUUUUACAUUUUCGGAAAACUUCAAACGAAAAUGGCAUAUAAUUCAACGUUCUAUGCUUCAUUAAUGCAUAAGAGUUGGUCGAAGCUUGAUCGAGUUUGCUUUUGGUUAUUUUGUGAACACCGUCAGGCUGUGUUCAAACAAUUUUCUGGUGGCAUAUAUGGGGGAUCGGAUAAUGUUGCCUCGGAUGAAAAUGAAUUUCAACAGCAUCAGAAACUCGAGAAGCUGUACAUAUCAACUCGUGCUGCCAAGGUUGCUACGCUUAUUUUUGUCUGUGCUUUAAACGAGCAUCACGUUAGUUGUGUUACCUAUCGUUUUUUUGCUUCAUCUUUAACAGCAUUACCAAAAGGAAAUUGUCCGCGGAGUGGAAGGUUACAUUGUGGCCGGUUCAAAGCACGUUGAAAUAGGUAUGUUGCUUGAAAUGCGUUGUCUUUUCUUUGGAGUUUGGAUAUGAAUUCAUGCUGGUUUUAUCAGUUGGUAUACAUAAUAUUUUUUCAACAGGUACCAAGCUAUCAGAAGAUAGCAGGAAAUAUGGUUCUGAAAAGACUUGCACCAGUGAUAACACAUUGUCGAGAGCUGCACUUAGUUUUGGAUGAGGUGGGGCCCAAAUGGAAAAAGAGUGCGGAGUUCUACUUAAAGCCCUUGGCACACAGGUUUAAGUCAAAUUAUUACUAACAGAGGCUAUUAAGUAAAAAUCAAAUAUUGCCAGGGCCGGCUUCAUACAAAUGGAAUUUCAACUGACUAAUUUUCGUGUGCAUUUGAUCAUUUCGAAAGAAAUUUACAGCAAAAAUUGUUUUCAUUUCCACGUCGUGGUUCAAGAAUUGGACUACUUUUUGUGUUUCUAUGCAUCGUAUGACAAACUGGCUCACCAUUUCUUUCUAUAGGUUUGCAUAAUAACUCUUUGUGUGCUUAUCAAUUUGCCUGUGUAGGUUGCAUAGCCUUUAUAGUGGGAGCGCCCAUGGAGGAUGCUCGACAUCUUGCUCAACGUUAUGCUAGAAUGCGGCAAGAAGCUGAAGCUCAGGUAUAUGCAGUUUCUUCUGUUUCCUACCAAUUUUAUUCUACAGUGAUUUUAUAUCCAAAACAAGCAUUGACUUGGCUGUCCAUCCAUCAAUAGCAGGUCCACAUCUCAACCCAAAUAUAAUGACGUCAAAGGAGAGGGGAAAAUGAGAAGGAAACUCUGGAGGGUAGAGGGAAGGAAAAGGGGAAAAGGAGAAAGGGAGAAGGGAAAAGUAGAACGGGAAGGAGGAAAAUGAGAGGAAAUUUCGGAGAAUAGAGAAAGGGAGAAGGGAAAAGAAGAAAAGCAGAAAAGAAGGGAAAAGGGGAAGGAAGCUUAGGAGGCUAGAGAAAAAGAUGGAAAUGCAUAAAAAUAAAAAAAUAAAAAAGGAAAGUCGCCUUCAUCAUUAUGUCUACUAACGGAAAGGAGCAACCACAUUGUAAAUUAUAUUUUGUAUAAUGAGAAACCAGUAUUCCUACCCUGAGGGUAUAGACACAACUUGCUGAAUCUCGUUACUAUACAGCAAGUUUAUAAUUGCACAAUAAUUCGAUCAAUCAUCUUAAGUUCAACCAUACAUGUAACAAGAUUUAAGUUUUUCCAAACUUUCCUUAUGAAGGUAACUGAACAUUACAAGUGUCACGUUAUUAUGCGAUUCUAUCAAGUUUUAAUUUUUGUCUCAUAACCACAUUACAAGUGCCACGUUAUUUAUUUUAUCCUUUAUUUUAUCUUUAUUAUUAAAACUUAAAAUUUUCAUAUUUUUUUAUUAAUUUUUUUUUAUAAAAUCACACGUAAAACAAGAAGUAAUCUUUUCUUUUUCUUUUCAUCUCUGCCACUAGCGGCCGACCAUGACUUAAAGAAACGCUUUUUGGAUGGGUCAAUGUAUGGGAACGACCCAUUUUAUAUGUUACAUGGUUGUGCAAUUAAAAGUGCAUUUUAUCAUAAAAAUGUGAGCAACGAUCAAUAUAAUUGUUAUUUAUAAAAUCACACAAAACACAAGAAGGAAUCUUUUCUUUUUCUUUUUCAUCUCUGCCACUACCAGCCGACCAUGACUUAAAAGAAACGCUUUUUGGUUCAAUGGAUGGGAACGACCUAUUUUAUAAUAAGAAAAAUUAAUUAAAAAAAUUUAAAAAUUUUAAGUUUUAAUAAUAAAAAGAUGUUGUAAAUAAAUAGUACAUAAUUGAUUUUUUUAGUAAAAGUAUAAUUUUUUAUUAAAAUUUCGUUCAAAUCCCCUUUAUAAUAUUGUUUGUAAAUUUUUCUGGAAGUAGAUGGAAAUGACCCAAUUACAUAUUUCCCCUGCUCACAGACAUUUUCAUUGCACCUAGAAAACCAGUUUUUUGUUAGAAAAUCGAUCCACAUCAAUGGCUCUUGUGAGAACAUCUCCAGGAACCUCCUCUGAUUCCAACACUUUUCGGAGUUAUCGCUACGACGUGUUCUUGAGCUUCAGAGGCGAAGAUACUCGCAAGACUUUUACCGACCACCUCUACACAGCCUUGAACAACGCAGGAUUUCUUACGUUCCGAGACGACGAUGAACUUGAGAGAGGAGAAGAUAUAAAGCCAGGACUGCAGAAAGCGAUCCAGCAGUCACGAACUUCUGUUGUCGUGUUUUCGAAAGAUUACGCUUCAUCCAGUUGGUGUCUUGAUGAGCUUGUGCUGAUCCUUGAACGCAAGAGGACCACCUCGGACCAUGUAGUUUUACCAGUCUUCUACGAUGUCGAUCCGUCCCACGUGAGGAAGCAGACAGGAAGUGUUGGAAAAGCAUUUGCUAGAAGCCAGAAAAAUCAGUCGCCGGAAAAGGUGCAGGGAUGGAGGAAGGCACUUGCAGAGAUUGCAGACCUAGCAGGCAUGGUCUUACAAAAUCAAGCUGAUGGGUAACUUUCAUUAUCUCCAUUUCUCAUCUUUCCUGGGUGAAUUUGAUGUAUGAUCCGUAAUGACCUAGAUUUUUAUAUGUUUAUUAAUUCAAUCUCAGUAGUGAAUAAUAAUCUCAAUUUAGGUCAACUUAAAGAAAUCACACUCAACUCAACUUAAGGAUUAGUCAUUUUCCAUGUUAAUCUACUGGUUUCCAGUUGCUUAAAUUUUUUUGAAAGCUGGUGUGGAAAAAGGUUAGGAUGUGAUCUGUCUAUAGUUCGUGUAAAUUAUGCGCUGUAUUCCUUUUUUUUUUCAAUUUAAUUUUGUCAGCAGUCCUCUUUUUUUUUUCUUAUUUAAAAAGGCAAUCAACAUAUGUUUUAAUUAUCUAAUUUCCCCAAUUCAUUUUUCAUUUUGUUUGCAAAUUCUUAGGUACGAGUCAAAGUUUAUCAAAAAAAUUGUUGAAGUGAUAGGAGACAAGUUAUGUCGUACGUCGUUGAGUGUUGAACCAAAAUUGAUUGGAAUUCAAUCUCAAGCCGAACGCAUCAAUUUGUGGUUACAAGAUGGAUCAAGUCAUGUUGGUAUAUUUGUUGUGUAUGGCAUGUCUGGAAUAGGGAAGACAACCAUUGCAAAACAUGUUUACAAUUCAAACUUUGGAAGCUUUCAAGGAAGUAGUUUCAUUGAAAAUAUCAAAGAAACAGCAGAUCGACCAAAUGGCUUAGUUCAAAUACAAAUGCAACUUCUUUGUGAUAUUUUGAACGGCAGAGAAGUGAAAAUACACAGUGUUAGUGAGGGAAUAAUUAAGAUUGAAAGGGCCAUAAGCACUAGAAGAGUUCUACUUGUUCUUGAUGAUGUUGACCAAAUGGACUAAUUCGAUGCAAUCCUAAGGAUGAAGGAUCAGUUUUAUCCUGGAAGUAAGAUACUAAUAACAACUAGGCGUGAAAGGCUGCUAAAGGCAGAUCAAGUUACAGAGGUGCACAGAGUUCAAACUUUGGAUUACAAUGAAUCAUUAAAGCUUUUCAGUUGGCAUGCUUUUGGCCAGGACCAUCCCAUAGAAGAAUACAUGGAGCACUCAAAACAGCUAGUGCAACAUAGCGACGGACUUCCAUUAGCUCUAAAAGUUUUGGGUUCUUCUUUAUCAGGGGAAAGUAUAGGUGUAUGGGAAAGUGCAUUGGAGAAGCUAAAAGUUAUUCCUGAUGGUGAAAUCAUAAACAAACUAAGAAUAAGCUAUGAAAGUUUAAAAGAUGACCAUGACCGGAAAUUAUUCCUCCACAUUGCUUGUUUCCUAAUAGGAAGGAACAAAACCUACAUUGUUAGAAUAUUCGAUGGAUGUGAUUUCUAUACAAUCAUUGGCAUUCAAAAUCUCAUUGAUAGAUGCUUGGUGACAUUUGAUGAACACGGCAAGGUGAAAAUGCAUGACAUGAUUCGUGCUAUGGGAAGAGAAAUUGUUCGCCAAGAAUCAGAAGAGCUUGAGGAACGUAGUAGAUUAUGGCGCCAUAAGGAUUCUUUCCAAGUAUUGAGGAAAAAGAAUGUAAGAAACAUGCCUUUUAUGUCUAUAUAUGUCUUUCUUCUUGUGAAAAUUAUGCAUAUUAAUGUCUUUUUUUUUUCCUUUAGGGUACAAAAAAAAUCCAAGGUCUUGUCCUGGAUAUGCGUAAUCAUUCUGCAAACAGUCCAAUAAACACAAAUGAGAUAGUCUUGGAAACCAAUGCAUUUGCAAGGAUGUGCAAUUUACAACUACUCCAUCUUAGUCAUGUACGACUGGAUGGAUGUUAUGCAGAUUUCCCUACAGGAUUAAGAUGGUUGUGUUGGCUUGAAUUUCCUUUGGAUUCUAUACCAAUUGAUUUUCCUUUGGAGAACGUAAUUGUUCUGGAAAUGCAAUACAGUAGCUUGAGACAAGUAUGCAAAGGAACAAAAGUAUGUUACUCUAUGCAUUUCAAUUCAUUUUCCUUAUUUUGUUAGUUUUUUAUUUGUUGACUAACUUCGUGUGUUAAAAUGAACUACUAUGUUUUCUUUAAUUCAAUGACUAAUUUCUUAUAUUAGAUACUUAUUUCAUUGUUAUUUUUUCUUCUUUUUUUUCCCUCUGUUUCCACAGUUUCUUCCAUCGUUGAAGAUCCUUGACGUCAGCCAUUCUCAUGGCCUUAGUGAAACCAUUGACUUCUCACUUUUCCCCAAUCUAGAGGAACUGAUUCUUGUAGAUUGCACAAGCCUGAAGAAUGUUCAUGAAUCCAUUGGAAGCUUGGAGAGACUCGUGUACUUGAAUAUAAAGGAUUGCAAGAAUCUUAGGAAGCUUCCGAAGAACAUGUGCAUGCUUAAGGCCCCGUUUGGGAUUGAGGUGAUUUUAAAAAAAGCCACUGUCAAAAAAAGCUGAGGAUCAUUUUUGUGUUUGGUAAACUGAAAAAAAAGGGCUUAUUUUGGAAGCUGCUGUGAGAAUAAGCUGAAAAUCAAAGAAAAAGCUGAAGCUGCUAUUUGCUGCUUUGAAAAAAAGCCAGUUUUUUCAAAGCACACGGAGCUACAGUGCUCCUUUAAUGAAAAGACACACUAUCAUCCUGCUUUUUUUUCCAAAAGCACUUUCACAAAAAAGUUUACCAAACACUCUACUGGCUUUAUUUCACAGCCGCUUAUUCUCACAGCACAGCUGCUUAUUCUUACAGCAGCUUUUUUUCAAAGCACAGCAAUACCAAACCAGCCCUAAAUCACUUGAACACUCAUUUUAUCUGGUUGCUCAAAUCUUGAUGAGUUUCCAAUGGAGAUGAUGAAGAUGGAGUCUCUGAAAGUUCUUGAGACAGAUGGACUUCCAAUAGGUAAAUUGUGGCCAGAAAGAAGUUCAACUAUCUUGAGUUCUUUUCCAUGCUCUUUAGUAGAGUUAAGUCUGAAGGGGUGCAAUCUUUCUGAUGAUGUCCUUCCUACGGAUUUAAGUAAUCUAUCCAAUUUGCAGUCUGCCAGUUUUCAUCAAAGGUUUGAGGAAGAUCGAUGAACUCUCUUUCAAGGGUUGUGAUAGGCUCGAAUCGCUUGUGGGGUUGCCGGAAGUACACCAAUGGCUAAGUAUAGCCGGAUGCAUAUCAUUAAAAAAAAUAACUUUUCAUUCCCCUGAGCAACCGUAUCUAGUACGUGGGGGUGACAACUCGAAUAACUGUAAUUGCUGUUACAAGUUACAGCCUUUUGAUAGAGUUGAUGUGAAAAUGAUCAAACUUAUGGGCUUGUGCAACUUUGAAUCCAUGCCAGCUGUUCAAAUGCGUAAUUCAUACACAUACAGGGAUCCAAAAGAGGUCCCCGUCCAGGUGCGCCUCUCUUUCUCUCUCUCAUAAGUCUUAAAUAUAUAAUGGGAAAGAAAUUACUGAGUAAUGUUGUGAUGACUGUGGCAAAUACAUAGGGACUGUAUCAAUUUGGUGUAUUCAGCACUUUUUUUGUUGGGAAUGAGGUUCCAGGCCGGUUCAGCUAUAAAAGUACGAAGUAUUCGAUAUCUUUUAUUGUCCCUUUACUACUUGCUAGUCACAGAAUUCGAGGCUUGAACAUCUUUGCUACCUAUGCAAAGGAAAAUUCAAAUAAUUAUUCUACUGGACCUAUUAUUGUUCCAAUAAUGAUCAAAGUGAGAAACAAGAGCAAGGGUUUGAAGUGGAUCUAUUGCCCAUUAUCCUAUGGAAUCCCAGGUGACGGAGAAGAUAUGAUAUGGUUGAGCCAUUGGAAGAUGGAGAAUAAUACAAUAUUACAAUGUGGAGAUGAAGUGGUGGUUUCGGUAAUAACCGGACCACGUGACUUGUUUUUGGUAAAGGAGUUUGGUGUCGAGCUUGUGCAAGAGCACCAAGACAAGAUGAGUACCCAACACAACACCAAAUCAGAUCCUAAUUAUCCAUUUGUUAUCGGUGGAGAUUUGAAGACGUGGAAGUGCAAACCAGGAAUAUACUUCCUUAGCUGUAGGAGACGAGAAGAUACUGACGACAUUGAUAUCCUCACCAUGGACUCUGAUGAAGAAGACACAAGUAUGUUGUGUUGUUGUAUAGCAUUGAAUUAUACUCCAUCCAAACACUUCCGGGUGUGUCCGUAUUCAUUUCAAAAACAUUUCCAAUAAAUUUUAUGUUAUUUGUAUGUUUUUCAGACAAAGAAGGGCAAGAGGAUGAACCUGAUUACACAAUUGCAAAGACGAUGGCAGCUAGCAAUAACUGCAGCCUAAGAGGAUGGAAGGUGCGCCUCACAGCUGUCGGCUUCUUUUUCGCGCUUGCUCUAGUUGGUUGGUCCUCCAUCUCGCAAAAAAAGAAGCGACACUCGUCCACAAGCCCACCAUGAGUUUGUAAUUUGACUUGAUAUAGAUAUAUCUUUGCAUUCCUUGCUCUCAAGAUGUUUUCUACCUUCGAAACUUCAAGUUUAGAGCUAAGCACUUUAACCGCUUGAGAUAUAAAAGCCCCUUGCAACUAGAUACCGAAGUUCAAAUGUGUUCAACGCCAUCAAAUAUAGCAUAAAAUACAUCCAGCAUUAGCGAUACUAGCAUAGUAGCAGUAAAUAAGUAAAACCAAAAAAUGCUUCCACACAUGGUAAGGGAAGGACUUUACAUAGGAAUCUUUAGCAAUAACGGGCAAGAUUUUUUUGUUUUUGGGAGGAGGUGGAUUAUUUCGGCACCGGGGAAAACAAAAACAUCCCAUCUUAGUUGUCGUUUACAACAAAAUCAUUCUUAAAGACUCGGCUCCCCAUUGAAAUUGUGUAAAUUGCAUAAAUAUCAAUACAACAGAUAUUAAAUAGAAUAAUAUAUAUCAAAUAAAUUAACGACAAGCAAUUUCUUAGCCUGAGAUCCAAGGACUUUACAGCUGGUUCAGCCUUGCAUUCGCUACUACAUUACAGAAGCUGGUUUCUGCUUCUUCAACCUGAACAAAUUAUUGAGGUCAGGAAGUAUAAGAGGAACGACCAUAGUCUCUGGAGCCAUGAAAUUUACUAUCUUCUUUUGGGCAUUGUACCUGCAAAAGCAUAAUGCAAUAAGCAUUCAACAAUCUGACCUAGUUUUCUCAACAGAUACUCCAAGAUAUUCCAAAACAAAGUCACAGCAAUUUCACAUAGGGAACCGAAGAAUCAUGUUCGUCCACUCUACACAUCCAAAGCAGCAAACUAACAAUUUCACAUAGGAUACCAGGUUGGGAGGAUACAAUCAUUAACAAUUUCAAAAGCUUUAAAUGCAAUCUGAAUACAUGGCAAGUAGGGGUAAACAUGUGAACAGAAAAAAUCAGUGAACAUAAUCAAAUCCAAUACGUCAAUUUUGGCCUAGAUUGAAAUGAAAAAAAAACAAGGAAAUGCUUUGUUGUUUUUGAAGGAAAUAAAACCUAUUUCAUGGAAAUAAAACCUGUGGUUACCUUUGUCUUCCUUUGCCAUUUGUCUAUCGAUUUGUUUCUGAAAGUGGCUAUUCUACAAGAUACAGCAUGACAGGUCCUAGUUAGACCAAGCAACCGGCAUGGAAAUGCUUUCUGAAGCAAGAAUCUGAACUCAAGAGCUUUGUGCCAGAGAGACUUCAGAAAAAUGAAAAAAAACAACAUAGAAUAUGGGUAAGAAUAAACAUCGAUCAAACAAUAAUUCACUGUAUAAAACAUUUUUUCAACUUUAAAGUGUGGCUUAAAAAGAAGCUUUAAACAAGUAGCAAUAAUUUCAUAUUGAAAAAUAAAACCUGGAUAUUACAAGAGCCAUUAUUUUGAAAGACACACCUUUUGGUUCUUCACUACUUGACUUUUAAGAAGAUCUUCGUCCUUGUCACGAUUCAGAUUCUUUAAAAUAUCUCUGCGAUGGAAUAAACAAAACCAAUCUAGGCCAAAAUUGACUUAUUCGAUUUGAUUAUGUUCACUGAUUUUUCUAUUCACAUGUUUACCCCUUACUUGCCAUAUGGUUUUGGGGUGUUAGUGCAUAGUGCUCUUCUCUUUACACACCUGUUUCAUUUGUAUUCGUUGUAAAUUAAGAGACCGUUUGAUAAUCAUUUCGUUUUCAAUUUAAAAAAUAUAAAAAACUAAAUAAAGUUUUCUAAAUUUGACCUAGAAUUUUUCGCUUUUGGUUUUUAAUUUUUUUUUUUAACAACUGAAAACUAAAAAUAGUUACAAAUUUUUUUUUCAGUUUUUAAUUUACAAAAAAGUAAAAACUGAAAACUCUAAACUAUAGACUAAAAAUUAAAAAGUGAAAUCGAAAUGGGCUCUCAACAAAAUUGAAAAAAGACUGGGCUGAAUUACUGAAUUCAAAGCAGGGCUUAUUAACGCUACGAGGCCCAAUGGAUCUGUAUAAAUAUUUUUUGUUUUUUUUUAACAAACGAUAUUAUCUAUAUGGGCUUAACCUUACAAUAGGCUAACAAUAAUGUGGUUCAAAUUUAUUUUUGACGAGAAUCGAACCUAAAACUUCUCGCUUACAAAUGAAGAGGAAUACCACUAAAUCAUAGUCCUGAUAUUUUAUUUAAUAUUUUAAGAAAAAAGAAAGAAAGCAAUGAAAAGCUGUACAUAAACUAAAUACAAAAAGGAAUGAAAUGAAGAAGAGUGGGAGACUAACGUUUAAUUCAAGAUAAAGAAAGAAAGGUAAUCGCACCCCGACGGCGGCGACGUGGCGGUCAUUUAACGGAAAAUAACAGACAAAUCAGCCUCCAGAUCAAGUCUUGAAGCACAACUCUGAAAAAUCGACACUACCUACAGCUGAGCUCCGACCAACCGUUGAUGGAUGCAAUCCGGAAGCUCAGAGAUCAAGUCGCCAAGCAACAGCAGGUACUCUCUCUCUUGUUUGAUUCCGAAUUUGUAUUUCUGUAUGGAUUAUGAUAUGAACAUAAUCUGCGUUGAUUGCGAGAUACUAAGAUUGCUUAAUGAAAUAAUAUUUAUAUAAUUGUUCAAAUUGAAUUGGAUCGAAUUCGAAUAGAUUUUUCACUAUUUCUGAGCUGUUUGGGGCUGUGUUGGAGUGUAUUGUUGCUGAAUUUCUGAAAUUUUGAAUCUAGCAAACACCAGUUCUUUUUGUUUGAACAUCGAUCCACAUCAAUGGCUCUUGUGAGAACAUCUCCAGGAACCUCCUCUGAUUCCAACACUUUUCGGAGUUAUCGCUACGACGUGUUCUUGAGCUUCAGAGGCGAAGAUACUCGCAAGACUUUUACCGACCACCUCUACACAGCCUUGAACAACGCAGGAUUUCUUACGUUCCGAGACGACGAUGAACUUGAGAGAGGGGAAGAUAUAAAGCCAGGACUGCAGAAAGCGAUCCAGCAGUCACGAACUUCUGUUGUCGUGUUUUCGAAAGAUUACGCUUCAUCCAAGUGGUGUCUUGAUGAGCUUGUGCUGAUCCUUGAACGCAAGAGGACCACCUCGGACCAUGUAGUUUUACCAGUCUUCUACGAUGUCGAUCCGUCCCACGUGAGGAAGCAGACAGGAAGUGUUGGAAAAGCAUUUGCUAGAAGCCAGAAAAAUCAGUCGCCGGAAAAGGUGGAGGGAUGGAGGAAGGCACUUGCAGAGAUUGCAGACCUAGCAGGCAUGGUCUUACAAAAUCAAGCUGAUGGGUAACCUUCAUUAUCUCCAUUUCUCUUCUCUUUGUUGGGUCAAUUUGAUGUAUGAUCCGUAGUGACAUAGAUUUUUAUAUAUUUAUUAAUUCAAUCUCAGUAGUGAAUAAUAAUCCCAAUUCAGGUCAACUUAAAGAAAGCACACUCAACUCAACUUAAGGAUUAGUCAUUUUCCAUGUUAAUCUACUGGUUUCCAGUUGCUUAAAUUUUUUUUGAAAGCUGGUGUGGAAAAAAGUUAGGAUGUGAUCUGUUUUGUAUUUGUCUAUAGUUUGUAUAGAUUAUGCGCUGUAUUCCUUUUUUUUUCAAUUUAAUUUUGUCAGGCAAUCAACAUAUGUUUUAAUUAUCUAAUUUCCCCAAUUCAUUUUUCAUUUUGUUUGCAAAUUCUUAGGUACGAGGCAAAGUUUAUCGAAAAAAUUGUUAAAGUGAUAGAAGACAAGUUAAGUCGUAUGCCAUUGAGUGUUGAACCAAAAUUGAUUGGUAUUCAAUAUCAAGCCGAACGCAUCAAUUUGUGGUUACAAGAUGGAUCAAGUGGUGUUGGUAUAUUUGUUGUGUAUGGCAUGUCUGGAAUCGGGAAGACAACCAUUGCAAAACAUGUUUACAAUUCAAACUUUAGAAGCUUUCAAGGAAGUAGUUUCAUUGAAAAUAUCAAAGAAACAGCAGAUCGACCAAAUGGCUUAGUUCAAAUACAAAUGCAACUUCUUUGUGAUAUUUUGAACGGCAGAGAAGUGAAAAUACACAGUGUUAGUGAGGGAAUAAUUAAGAUUGAAAGGGCCAUAAGCUCUAGAAGAGUUCUACUUGUUCUUGAUGAUGUUGACCAUAUGGACCAAUUAGAUGCAAUCCUAAGGAUGAAAGAUCAGUUUUAUCCGGGAAGUAAGAUACUAAUAACAACUAGGCGUGAAAGGUUGCUAAAGGCAGAUCAAGUUACAGAGGUGCACAGAGUUCGGACUUUGUAUUACAAUGAAUCAUUAAAGCUUUUCAGUUGGCAUGCUUUUGGCCAGGACCAUCCCAUAGAAGAAUACAUGGAGCACUCAAAACAGCUUGUGCAACAUAGCGACGGACUUCCAUUAGCUCUAAAAGUUUUGGGUUCUUCUUUAUCAGGGGAAAGUAUAGGUGUAUGGGAAAGUGCAUUGGAGAAGCUAAAAGUUAUUCCUGAUGGUGAAAUCAUGAAUAAACUAAGAAUAAGCUAUGAAAGUUUAAAAGAUGACCAUGAUCGGAAAUUAUUCCUCCACAUUGCUUGUUUCCUAAUAGGAAGGAACAAAAGCUACAUUGUUAGAAUACUCGAUGGAUGUGAUUUCUAUACAAUCAUUGGCAUUCAAACUCUCAUUGAUAGAUGCUUGGUGACACUUGAUGAACACGGCAAGGUGAAAAUGCAUGACAUGAUUCGUGCUAUGGGAAGAGAAAUUGUUCGCCAAGAAUCAGAAGAGCUUGAGGAACGGAGUAGAUUAUGGCGCCAUAAGGAUUCUUUCCAAGUAUUGAGGAAAAAGAAUGUAAGAAACAUGCCUUUUAUGUCUAUAUAUGUAUUCCUUCUUGUGAAAAUUAUGCAUAUUAAUGUCUUUUUUUUUCCUUUAGGGUACAAAAAAAAUCCAAGGUCUUGUCCUGGAUAUGCGUAAUCAUCCUGCAAACAGUCCAAUAAACACAAAUGAGAUAGUCUUGGAAACCAAUGCAUUUGCAAGGAUGUGUAAUUUACAACUACUCCAUCUUAGUCAUGUACGACUGGAUGGAUGUUAUGCAGAUUUCCCUACAGGAUUAAGAUGGGUGUGUUGGCUUGAAUAUCCUUUGGAUUCUAUACCAAUUGAUUUUCCUUUGGAGAACGUAAUUGUUCUUGAAAUGCAAUACAGUAGCUUGAGACAAGUAUGCAAAGGAACAAAAGUAUGUUACUCUAUGCAUUUCAAUUCAUUUUCCUUAUUGUGUUAGUUUCUUAUUUGUUGACUAACUCCAUGUGUUAAAAUGAACUACUAUGUUUUCUUUAAUUCGAUGACUAAUUUCUUAUGUUAGAUACUUAUUUCAUUGUUCUUUUUUCUUUUCUUUUUUUCCCUCUGUUUCCACAGUUUCUUCCAUCGUUGAAGAUCCUUGACGUCAGCCAUUCUCAUGGCCUUAGUGAAACCAUUGACUUCUCACUUUUCCCCAAUCUAGAGGAACUGAUUCUUGUAGAUUGCACAAGCCUGAAGAAUGUUCAUGAAUCCAUUGGAAACCUAGAGCGACUCGUGUACUUGAAUAUGAAGGAUUGCAAGAAUCUUAGGAAGCUUCCGAAGAACAUGUGCAUGCUUAAAUCACUUGAAACGCUCAUUUUAUCUGGUUGCUCAAAUCUUGAUGAGUUUCCCUUGGAGAUGAUGAAGAAGAUGGAGUCUCUGAAAGUUCUUGAGACAGAUGGAAUUCCAAUAAGUGAAUUGUGGCCAGAAAGAAGUUCAACUAUCUUGAGUUCUUUUCCACGCUCUUUAGUAGAGUUAAGUCUGAAGGGAUGCAAUCUUUCUGAUGAUGUCUUUCCUACGGAUUUAAGUAAUUUAUCCUACUUGCGAGGACUACAUUUAGAUGAGAAUCCAAUUUGCAGUCUGCCAGUUUUCAUCAAAGGUUUGAGGAGGAUCGAUAAACUCUCUUUCAAGGGUUGUGAUAGGCUUGAAUCGCUUGUGGGGUUGCCGGAAGUACACCAAAUAAUGAGUAUAGUCAGAUGCAUAUCAUUAAAAAAAUAACUUUUCAUUCCCCUGGGCAACAUCAUCUAUCACGUGUAAUUUACAAUGACAACCGGAAUCUUGUUGAGGCGGAGUGUUUUUACAAGUUAGAGCCUAUUGAUAGAGUUGAUGUGGAAAUGAUCAAACUUUUGGGCUUGUGCAACUUGGAAUCCAUGCCAGCUGUUCGAAUGCAUCAUCCACUCACAAACUGGGAUCUAAUAGACGUCCCCGUCCAGGUGCGCCUCUUUUUCUCUCUCUCUCAUAAGUCUUAAAUAUAUAAUGGGAAAGAAAUGACUGAGUAAUGUUGUGAUGACUGUGGCAAAUACAUAGGGACUGUAUCAACAUGGUAUAUUCAGCACCUUUUUUGUUAGGAAUGAGGUUCCAGGCCUGUUCAGCUAUAAAAGUACCAAGUCCUCGAUAUCUUUUAUUGUCCCUUUACUACUUGCUAGUCACAGAAUUCGAGGCUUAAACAUCUUUGCUACCUAUGCAAAGGAAAAUUCAAAUAAUUAUUCUACUGGACCUAUUAUUGCUCCAAUAAUGAUCAAAGUGAGAAACAAGAGUAAGGGUCUGAAGUUGAUCUAUGACCCUGAGUUCUACGGAAUUCCAGGUGACGGAGAAAAUAUGAUAUGGUUGAGCCAUUGGAUGAUGGAGAAUAAAACAAUAUUACAAUGUGGAGAUGAAGUGGUGGUUUCGGUAAUAACCGGACCACGUGACAUGUUUUGGGUAAAGGAGUUUGGUGUCGACCUUGUGCAAGAGCACCAAGACAAGAUGAGUACCCAACACAACACCAAAUCCGAUCCUAAUUAUCCAUUUGUUAUCGGUGGAGAUUUGAAGAUGUUUGAGCGCAGACCGGGAAUAUACUUCCUUGGCAAUUAUGCAAGAAAAGAUAUUGAUGACAUUGAUAUCCUCACCAUGGCCUCUGAUGAAGAAGACACAAGUAUGUUGUGUUGUUGUAUAGCAUUGAAUUAUACUCCAUCCAAACACUUCCAUGUGUGGUCCGUAUUCAUUUCAAAAAUGUUUCCAAUAAAUGUUAUGUUAUUUGUAUGUUUUUCAGACAAAGAAAGACAAGAGGAUGAACCUGAUUACACAAUUGCAAAGACGAGGGCUGCUAGCAAUAACUGCAGCUUGAGAGGCUGGAAGGUGCGCCUCACAGCUGUCGGCUUCUUUUUUUCGCUUGCUCUAGUAGGUUGGUCCUCCAUCUCCCAAAAAAAGAAGCGACACUCGUCCACAAGCCCACCAUGAGUUUGUAAUUUGACUUGAUAUAGAUAUAUCUUUGCAUUCCUCUCAGGAUGUUUUCUAUCUUCAAAACUUCAAGUUCGCUAAGCACGCUUAACCGCUUGAGAUAUAAAAGCCCCUUGCAACUAGAUACCAAAGUUAAAAUGUGUUCAAAACAUCAAAUAUAGCAUAAAAUACAUCCAGCAUUAGUUAUACUAGCAGAGUAGCAAUAAAUAAGUAAAACAAAAAAAUGCUUCCACACACGGUAAGGGAUGGACUUUGACAUAGGUAUCUUUAGAGCAAUUCCACCCCUAAGGACUUUGCGUCCGCACCUAGCGCAUUUAUCCACUCAAAUGAACAGUAACAGACUCUAAUGAACAGUAAUAGGCCAAGCAUCUCCACCCCUAAAAAAAUGCGCUGGCACCUAGUAAAAAAAUGCGUUGGCACAAACGAUCUUCAUCCCUACAAAAUGCGCUGGCACCCAGCCCAUUUAAAAUAUUUUUAAAUGUUGUCUAAAAGAAUAAAAAAAUAAAAUAGUUUUAAUUUCGGAUAGGAUUUUUAACUAAUCUCGUCACACCACAUGUCAUUAUCUGAACGUACUAUUUUGUGAAUAGAUUUCCGCUAAGAUUUUCUGUAUUUUUUAAUAAUUUUUAAUGAAUUUUAAUAUAGUUAAUUAAUCUGGACCGUUAGAUUUGAAAAAAUAUUCAAAUCCAAGAGACAGGGAGUUGCCACGUGGCCAACAGUCAUAUUUCUGACCGUUGGGCCUUUUUUUUUUUUUUUUACUUUUUUGUAAAAAAAACGUGGACCGUUGAUCUUUGAUCCGACAGUCUAUUUUAAAAGUAAAAUUUAAAUUUUUUUACCGUUGGAAAUCCAACGGUCUAGAAAAGGGAGCCACGUCGCCAACUCGAGGGGGGGGGGGAAACUGAGUGCGCCACGCGGGCCCGCCUUCUGAAAUCUUGUCGGGCACUCGCGCCAGCACCUCCAUGAAGCGCACGCGCAAGGCAAACUGCCCAGCUUCUUGCUCAGUCUCGUUUGGGCUGGGUACCAGUCAAGUUGAAGGGGUGGACUUGGUUGACAGGGUGCUGGCCUUGUUUUUGUGCUGGAUCCUGGGCAAAUUCCACUGGGGUGGAAUUGCUCUUAGCAAUAACGGGCAAGAUUUUUUUUAGGGAGGGGGAAGGGAUUAUUUUGGCAUCGGGGAAAACAAAAACAUCCUAUCUGCUUAUGAAUGACAAAUUUACAAAUCUUAAUUGUCGUUUACAACAAAAUCAUUCUUAAAGACUCGGCUCCCCAUUGAAAUUGUGUAAAUUGCAUAUAUAACAAUACAACAGAUAUUAGAUAGAAUAAUAUAUAUCAAAUAAUUUAACGAUAGGACUUUACAGUUGGUUCAGCCUUGCAUUGCUACUACGCUACAGAAGCUGGUUUCUGCUUCUUCCACCUGAACAAAUUAUUGAGGUCAGGAAGUAUAGGAGGAACGGCCAUAGUCUCUGGAGCCAAGAAAUUUACUAUCUUCUCAUGAACAUUGUACCUGCAAAAGCAUAAUGCAAUAAGCAUUCAACAAUCUGACCUAGUUUGCUCAACAGAUGCUCUAAGAUAUUCCAAAACAAAGUCACAACAAUUUCACAUAGGGAACCGAAGAAUCAUGUUCAUCCACUCAACACAUCCAAAGCAGCAAACUAACUAGGAUACCAGGUUGGGAGGAUACAAUCAUUAACAAUUUCAAAAGCUUUAAACGCAAUCUGAAUAUAUGGCAAGUAGGGGUAAACAUGUGAACAGAAAAGUCAAAGAACAUAAUCAAAUCGAAUAAGUCAAUUUUGGCCUAGAUUGAAAUGAAAAAAAAAACAAGGAAAUGCUUUGUGUAUCGAUUUGUUUAUGAAGGAAAUAAAUGCUUUGUGUAUCCAUUCGUCUAUCAAUUUGUUUCUGAAAGUGGCUAUUCUACAAGAUACAGCAUGACAGGUCUUAGUUGGACCAAGUAACCGGCAUGGAAAUGCUUUCUGAAGCAAGAAUCUGAACUCAAGAGUUUUGUGCCAGAGAGACUUCAGAAAAAUGAAAAAAACAACAUAGAAUAUGGGUAAGAAUAAACAUCGAUUAGACAAUAAUUCACUGUAUAAAUAAUUUUUUCAACUUUAAAGUGUGGCUUAAAAAGAAGCUUUAAACAAGUAGCAAUAAUUUCAUAUUGAAAAAUAAAACCUAUUUCAUGGAUAUUACAAGAGCCAUUAUUUUGAAAAACACACCUUUUGGUUCUUCACUGCUUGACUUUUAAGAAGUUCUUUGUUCUUGUGACAAUUCAGAUUCUUUAAAAUAUCUCUGCAACGGAAUAAACAAAACCAAUCUAGGCAAAAAUUGACUUGUUCGAUUUGAUUAUGUUCACUGAUUUUUCUGUUCACAUGUUUACCCCUACUUGCCAUAUAGUUUUAGUUUUGGGGUGUUAGCGCAUAGUGCUCUUCUCUUUACACACCAGUUUCAAUUUUAUUCUUCGUAAAUUAAGAGACCGUUUGAUAAUCAUUUCGUUUUCAAUUUUAAAAAAUAUAAAAAACUAAAUAAAGUUUUCAAAAUUUGACCUAGAAUUUUCGCUUUUGGUUUUCAAUUUUAAUUUUUUUUUAAACAACUGAAAACUAAAAAUAGUUACAAAAAGAAUUUUUCAGUUUUUAAUUUACAAAAAAGUAAAAACUGAAAACUCUAUACUAUAGACUAAAAAUUAAAAAGUGAAAUCGAAAUGGGCUCUCAACAAAAUUGAAAAAAGACUGGGCUGAAUUACUGAAUUCAAAGCAGGGCUUAUUAACGUUACGAGGCCCAAUGGAUAUGUAUAAAUAUUUUUCGUUUUUUGUUUAACAAACGAUAUUAUUUAUAUGGGCUUAAUGUUACAGUGAGCUAACAAUAAUGUGGUUCAAAUUUGCUUUUCGUAAGAAUCGAAUCUAAAACUUCUCACUUAGAGAAAUACCUCUAAACCGUAAUCUGAGUGGCUCGUUAUUUUAUUUUAUAUUUUAAGAAAAAAGAAAGAAAGCAAUGAAAAGCUGUACAUAAAAUAAAUACAAAAAGCUAAGAAAUGAAGAAGAGUGGGAGACUAACGUUUAAUUCAAGAUAAAGAAAGAAAGGUAAUCGCAAGACGACGGCGGCGACGUGGCGGUCAUUAAACGGAAAAUAACAGACAAAUCAGCCUCCAGAUCAAGUCUUGAAGCACAACUCUGAAAAAUCGAGACUACCUACAGCUGAGCUCCGACCAACCGUUGAUGGAUGCAAUCCGGAAGCUCAGAGAUCAGGUCGCCAAGCAACAGCAGGUACUCCCUCUCGUUUGAUUCCGAAUUUGUAUUUCUGUAUGGAUUUUGAUAUGAACAUAAUCUGCGUUGAUUGCGAGAUACUGAGAUUGCUUAAUGAAAUAAUAUUUAUAUAAUUGUUCGAGUUGAAUUGGAUCGAUUCGAAUUCAAAUAGAAUUUCACUAUUUCUGAGCUGUUUGGGGAUGUGUUGGAGUGCAAUGUUGAUGAAUUUCUGAAAUUUUGAGCUAGGUGUUGCUAAUUACUUAUCAAUUUUUGAUGUAAUUGGAUGCUUAAUUUUUACAUUUUCGGAAAACUUCAAGCGAAAAUGGCAUAUAAUUCAACGUUCCAUGCUUCAUUAAUGCAUAUGAGUUAGUCGAAGCUUCAUCGAGUUUGCUUUUGAUUAUUUUGUGAACACCGUCAGGCCGUGUUCAAACAAUUUUCUGGUGGCAUAUAUGGGGGAUCGGAUAAUGUUGCCUCGGAUGAAAAUGAAUUUCAACAGCAUCAGAAACUCGAGAAGCUGUACAUAUCAACUCGUGCUGCCAAGGUUGCUACGCUUAUUUUUGUCUGUGCUUUAAACGAGCAUCACGUUAGUUGUGUUACCUAUCGUUUUUUGCUUCUUCUUUAACAGCAUUACCAAAAGGAAAUUGUCCGCGGAGUGGAAGGUUACAUUGUGGCCGGUUCAAAGCACGUUGAAAUAGGUAUGUUGCUUGAAAUGCGUUGUCUUUUCUUGGGAGUUUGGAUAUGAAUUCGUGUUGGUUUUAUCAGCUGGUAUACAUAAUACUUUUUCAACAGGUACGAAGCUAUCAGAAGAUAGCAGGAAAUAUGGUUCUGAAAAGACUUGCACCAGUGGUAACACAUUGUCGAGAGCUGCACUGAGUUUUGGAAGAGCUCGGGCCCAAAUGGAAAAAGAGUGCGGAGUUCUACUUAAAGCCCUUGGCACACAGGUUUAAGUCAAAUUAUUACUAACAAUGGCUCAUUAAGUAAAAAUCAAAUAUUGCCAGGGCCAGUUUCAUACAAAUGGAAUUUCAACUGACUAAUUUUCGUGUGCAUUUGAUCAUUUCGAAAGAAAUUUACAGCAAAAAUUGUUUUCAUUUCCACGUCGUGGUUCAAGAAUUGGACUACUUUUUGUGUUUCUAUGCAUCGUAUGACAAACUGGCUCACCAUUUCUUUCUAUAGGUUUGCAUAAUAACUCUUUGUGUGCUUAUCAAUUUGCCUGUGUAGGUUGCAUAGCCUUUAUAGUGGGAGCGCCCAUGGAGGAUGCUCGACAUCUUGCUCAACGUUAUGCUAGAAUGCGGCAAGAAGCUGAAGCUCAGGUAUAUGCAGUUUCUUCUGUUUCCUACCAAUUUUAUUCUACAGUGAUUUUAUAUCCAAAACAAGCAUUGACUUGGCUGUCCAUCCAUCAAUAGCAGGUCCACAUCUCAACCCAAAUAUAAUGACGUCAAAGGAGAGGGGAAAAUGAGAAGGAAACUCUGGAGGGUAGAGGGAAGGAAAAGGAGAAAAGGAGAAAGGGAGAAGGGAAAAGUAGAACGGGAAGGAGGAAAAUGAGAGGAAAUUUCGGAGAAUAGAGAAAAGGAGAAGGGAAAAGAAGAAAAGCAGAAAAGAAGGGAAAAGGGGAAGGAAGCUUAGGAGGCUAGAGAAAAAGAGGGAAAUGCAUAAAAAUAAAAAAAUAAAAAAGGAAAGUCGCCUUCAUCAUUAUGUCUACUAACGGAAAGGAGCAACCACAUUGUAAAUUAUACUAAAAAUAUGACUUUAACCCCUCAAACUCAAUUUCUUUCAUAUAAAACCCGACAUAACAUUUUUACUCGAAUAAAACCCAAUGACUAGACUUCACAUAAGCAAAUUCAUUAAUUAUGACAUUUUAAAAAUUUCUAAUGCCUAAAAUACCCCUGUUUGCAUGUUUAAUGUGCACAAUUAAACAUAUGCAGAUUUUAAGGAGGAUUAAUGAUUUUACAAAAAUAAAAUAAUAAAAAAGGCACAAAUAUUCUAAAUGCAUUGCAUGUUAUAUGAAUUUGGUUGAUUCAUGUUUCUCUCACUUCAUAAAAUUUGCUUCUAAUUUGAUAUAGGAAUUAAUUUGGAAAGUUUUCUUAAUCUUAAUAACAAUUUUCAAUUUAAAUAUAUUUUUUAAUGAAAUAGUCUAUCUUUUAAAAUAAUUAUCAAUAAAAUAAUGAAAUAGUCUAUCUUUUCAAUUUAAAUAAUGUACCUGUUAUUUAAUUUUUACAACACUAAUGUAUCUUAAAAAAUAAUUUACUUAUUGUUUAGUUUUAGCAAAAAUAAUUUACCUACUGUGUAUAAUUGGUGAAGCUAAUGAUGUACAUAUUGUUUAAUUUUUUAAAAAUUAAUGUAUGUACAAAAAUAAUUUAUCUAUUGUUCAAAUUUUAGGAUAAAAAUUUACAUGUUUUUAUUUAACAAUAAUGUAUCUACAAUUUAUUUUUGUAUGAAUAUAAUUUACCUACUUUUUAAUUUUAUAUGAAACUAAUUUACCUACUGUGUCAGUAAUGUAUCUACAAUUUUACAUACAAUAUUUACCUUCUUUUUUUUUUUCACAACAAUAGUGUAUCUACAAUUUUGUUUUUGUAUGAAUAUAGUUUACCUACAAUUUAACUUUUCAAAAAAUGUAUCUUCUAUUUUAUAGUUUACUAUCAUAUAUAUGUUUAUGUGUUCGCAAAAUAAUUUAUCUAAAGUUAUAUAGUUAAGAGAUAUGCUAAUGAAUUAUAUUAAUUCAUUAUUAGACUGAUAUAAGAAAUUGUUAAAAACGUUAGCCAUAAUGGUUGGCUAAUAAUGGUUGUAUGAGAACAGUUAUAGAAAGUUGUGGCAUAAAUUGUAAAUAACUUAUAUUAAUAGGUUACUUAUUUUCUUAUUUGGUAAUUUAUUUAAAUUUUGGGUUUUGAUUGAAUGUUUAUUCAUAGGUGGGUUUUUAUCUGAAGUAUAUGAGUUGUAUGGGUCUAUAUCUAAACAACCCUAAAUUAUAUUUUGUAUAAUGAGAAACCAGUAUUCCUACCCCGAGGGUAUAGACACAACUUACUAAAUCUCGUUACUAUACAGCAAGCUUAUAAUUGCGCAAUAAUUCGAUCAACCAUCUUAAGUUCAACCAUUCAUGUAACAAGAUUCAAGUUUUCUAAACUUUCCUUAUUAAGGUAACUGAACAUUACAAGUGCCACGUUAUUAUGCGGUUCUAUCAAGUUUUAAUUUUUGUCUCAUAACCACAUCAUCUUUAGGACAAUCAUCUUGUAGUUGAAUAUAUAAACCUUCGAUAUGGCGAUAUUGGAAACGCUUGUUGGUGGGUUGAUUGGUAGAAAUGGUUCCAACAAUUCAAGGAUGAGAAAUGAGCAUUGAGCAACGAACAAAAUAUAUUGUAUUUUAUCACAAAAGAUGUUUGUGCAAUUAAAAGUGCAUUUUAUCACAAAGAGGUGAGCAACGAUCAAUAUAAUUGUUAUUUAUAAAAGGGAACAUUAACAAAAGUUUCCGGUACUGUUUAUUUUAAUAAAAAAUUACAUUUUUACAUUAAAAGUCAAUACUGAUACUAUUUAUUUUACCCUUUAUUUUAUCUUUAUUAUUAAAACUCAAAAUUUUUAAAUUUCUUUUAUUAAUUUUUUUUUUAUAAAAUCACACGUAAAACAAGAAGUAAUCUUUUCUUUUUCUUUUCGUCUCUGCCACAAGCGGCCGACCAUGACUUAAACAAACGCUUUUUGGGUGGGUCAAGGUAUGGGAACGACCCAUUUUAUAUGUUACAUGGUUGUGCAAUUAAAAGUGCAUUGUAUCAUAAAAAGGUGAGCAACGAUCACUAUAAUUGUUAUUUAUAAAAUCACACAAAACACAAGAAGGAAUCUUUUCUUUUUCUUUUUCAUCUCUGCCACUACCAGCCAUGACUUAAAAGAAACGUUUUUUGGUUCAAUGGAUGGGAACGGCCCAUUUUAUAAUAAGGAAAAUUAAUAAAAAAAAAUUUUAAAUUUAAAUUUUAACGAAAAUAAUAAAAAGAUGUUGUAAGUGAAUAAUACAUGAUUGAUUUUUUUGAAUAAAAAAAUAUAUAUUGUUUUAAAUAAACAGUAUUAGGAGUGUUUGGUUCAAAUCCCUUUAUAAUAUUGUUCGUAAAUUUUUCUGGAAGUAGAUGGAAAUGACCCAAUUACAUAUUUCCCCUGCUCACAGACAUUUUCAUUGCACCUAGAAAACCAGUUUUUUGUUAGAAAAUCGAUCCACAUCAAUGGCUCUUGUGAGAACAUCUCCAGGAACCUCCUCUGAUUCCAACACUUUUCGGAGUUAUCGCUACAACGUGUUCUUGAGCUUCAGAGGCGAAGAUACUCGCAAGACUUUUACCGACCACCUCUACACAGCCUUGAACAACGCAGGAUUUCUUACGUUCCGAGACGACGAUGAACUUGAGAGAGGAGAAGAUAUAAAGCCAGGACUGCAGAAAGCGAUCCAGCAGUCACGAACUUCUGUUGUCGUGUUUUCGAAAGAUUACGCUUCAUCCAGGUGGUGUCUUGAUGAGCUUGUGCUGAUCCUUGAACGCAAGAGGACCACCUCGGACCAUGUAGUUUUACCAGUCUUCUACGAUGUCGAUCCGUCCCACGUGAGGAAGCAGACAGGAAGUGUUGGAAAAGCAUUUGCUAGAAGCCAGAAAAAUCAGUCGUCGGAAAAGGUGGAGGGAUGGAGGAAGGCACUUGCAGAGAUUGCAGACCUAGCAGGCAUGGUCUUACAAAAUCAAGCUGAUGGGUAACUUUCAUUAUCUCCAUUUCUCUUCUCUUUCUUGGGUCAAUUUGAUGUAUGAUCCGUGGUGACCUAGAUUUUUAUAUGUUUAUUAAUUCAAUCUCAGUAGUGAAUAAUAAUCUCAAUUUAGGUCAACUUAAAGAAAUCACACUCAACUCAACUUAAGGAUUAGUCAUUUUCCAUGUUAAUCUACUGGUUUCCAGUUGCUUAAAUUUUUUUGAAAGCUGGUGUGGAAAAAAGUUAGGAUGUGAUCUGUCAUGUAUUUGUCUAUAGUUUGUAUAAAUUAUGCGCUGUAUUCCUUUCUUUUUUUUUCAAUUUAAUUUUGUCAGCAGUCCCUUUUUUUUUUUUUUUUUCUUAUUUAAAUAAAGGCAAUCAACAUAUGUUUGAAGGGAACUUUAACGAAAAGCUCCCAGUACUGUUCACUUUAACGAAAAACCACAUUUUUUCACUAAAAAGUAAAUCCUGAUACUAUUUACUUUAUCCUUUAUUUUGUAAUUAUAUAUUUUCCCAAUUCAUUUUUCGUUUUGUUUGCAAAUUCUUAGGUACGAGUCAAAGUUUAUCAAAAAAAUUGUUAAAGUGAUAGGAGACAAGUUAAGUCGCACGCCAUUGAGUGUUGAACCAAAAUUGAUUGGAAUUCAAUCUCAAGCCGAACGCAUCAAUUUGUGGUUCCAAGAUGGAUCAAGUGAUGUUGGUAUAUUUGUUGUGUAUGGCAUGUCUGGAAUAGGGAAGAAAACCAUUGCAAAACAUGUUUACAAUUCAAACUUUGGAAGCUUUCAAGGAAGUAGUUUCAUUGAAAAUAUCAAAAAAACAGCAGAUCGACCAAAUGGCUUAGUUCAAAUACAAAUGCAACUUCUUUGUGAUAUUUUGAACGGCAGAGAAGUGAAAAUACACAGUGUUAGUGAGGGAAUAAUUAAGAUUGAAAGGGCCAUAAGCUCUAAAAGAGUUCUACUUGUUCUUGAUGAUGUUGACCAUAUGGACCAAUUAGAUGCAAUCCUAAGGAUGAAAGAUCAGUUUUAUCCUGGAAGUAAGAUACUAAUAACAACUAGGUGUGAAAGGUUGUUAAAGGCUGAUCAAGUUACAGAGGUGCACAGAGUUCAAACUUUGGAUGACAAUGAAUCAUUAAAGCUUUUCAGUUGGCAUGCUUUUGGCCAGGACCAUCCCAUAGAAGAAUACAUGGAGCACUCAAAACAGCUAGUGCAACAUAGCGGCGGACUUUCAUUAGCUCUAAAAGUUUUGGGUUCUUCUUUAUCAGGAGGAAGUAUAGGUGUAUGGGAAAGUGCAUUGGAGAAGCUAAAAGUUAUUCCUGAUGGUGAAAUCAUGACUAAACUAAGAAUAAGCUAUGAAAGUUUAAGUAAUCUAUCAUACUUGCGAAGACUACAUUUAGAUGAGAAUCCAAUUUGCAGUCUGCCAGUUUUCAUCAAAGGUUUGAGGAGGAUCGAUGAACUCUCUUUCUGGGGUUGUGAGAGGCUCGAAUCGCUUGUGGGGUUGCCGGAAGUGCACCAAAAGAUAAAUAUAGUCAGAUGCAUAUCAUUAAAAAAAAUAACUUAUCAUUCCCCUCCGCGACCGGUUACAAUACAUUUGCGUGACAACUGGAAUCUUGUUGAGUGGGAGCACUAUUACAAGUUAGAGCCUAUUGAUAGAGUUGAUGUGGAAAUGAUCAAACUUUUGGGCUUGUGCAACUUGGAAUCCAUGCCAGCUGUUCGAAUGCGUUAUCCUUCCUACACAAACGGGGUUCCAAAAGAGGUCCCCGUCCAGGUGCGCCUCUUUUUCUCUCUCUCUCGUAAGUCUUAAAUAUAUAAUGGGAAAGAAAUGACUGAGUAAUGUUGUGAUGACUGUGGCAAAUACAUAGGGACUGUAUCAACAUGGUAUAUUCAGCACAUUUUUUGUUGGGAAUGAGGUUCUAGACCUGUUCAGCUAUAAAAGUACCAAGUCUUCGAUAUCUUUUAUUGUCCCUAUACUACUUGCUAGUCACAGAAUUCGAGGCUUGAACAUCUUUGCUACCUAUGCAAAGGAAAAUUCAAAUAAUUAUUCUAGUGGACCUAAUAUUGGUCCAAUAAUGAUCAAAGUGAGAAACAAGAGUAAGGGUUUGAAGUGGAUCUAUUCCCCAGAGUUCUAUGGAAUUCCAGGGGACGGAGAGGAAAUGAUAUGGUUGAGCCAUUGGAAGAUGGAGAAUAAAACAAUAUUACAAUGUGGAGAUGAAGUGGUGGUUUCGGUAAUAACCGGACCACGUGACUUGUUUUCGGUAAAGGAGUUUGGUGUCGAGCUUGUGCAAGAGCACCAAGACAAGAUGGGUACCCAACACAACACCAAAUCCGAUCCUAAUUAUCCAUUUGUUAUCGGUGGAGAUUUGAAGACGUUUGACUGCAAACCGGGAAUAUACUUCCUUGGCAAUUAUGAAAGAAAAGAUAUUGAUGACAUUGAUAUCCUCACCAUGGACUCUGAUGAAGAAGACACAAGUAUGUUGUGUUGUUGUAUUGCAUUGAAUUAUACUCCAUCCAAACACUUACAGGUGCGUCCGUAUUCAUUUCAAAAAUGUUACCAAUAAAUUUUAUGUUAUUUGUAUGUUUUUCAGACAAAGAAGGACAAGAGGAUGAACCUGAUUACACAUGUGCAAAGACGAGGGCUGCUAGCAAUAACUACUGCCUGAGAGGCUGGAAGGUGCUCCUCACAUUUGUCGGCUUCUUUUUUGCGCUUGCUCUAGUAGGUUGGUCCUCCAUCUCCCAAAAAAGGAAUCGACACUAGUCCACAAGCCCACCAUGAGUUUGUAAUUUGACUUGAUAUAGAUAUAUCUUUUCAUUCCUUGCUCUCAAGAUGUUUUCUACCUUCAAAACUUCAGCUUCAAAGCUAAGCACUCUUAACUGCUUGAGAUAUUAAAGCCCCUUGCAACUAGAUACCGAAGUUCAAAUGUGUUCAACGCCAUCAAAUAUAGCAUAAAAUACAUCCAGCAUUAGCUAUACUAGCAGAGUAGCGGUAAAUAAGUAAAACAAGAUUUAUUUUGGAGGGGGGGGGGGGGGGGGCGGGGAUUAUUUCGGCACCGGGGAAAGCAAAAACAUCCAAUCUGCUUAUAAAUGACAAAGUUACAAAUCUUAAUUGUCGUUUACAACAAAAUCAUUCUUAAAGACUCGGCUCCCCAUUGAAAUUGUGUAAAUUGCAUAAAUAUCAAUACAACAGAUAUUAGAUAGAAUAAUAUAUAUCAAAUAAAUUAACGACAGGCAAUUUCAAAAGCUUUAAAUGCAAUCUGAAUACAUGGCAAGUAGGGGUAAACAUGUGAACAGAAAAAUCAUUAACAAUUUCAAAAGCUUUAAAAACCGAAAACUCUAAACUAUAGACUAAAUAUUAAAAAGUGAAAUUGAAAUGGGCUCUCAACAAAAUUGAAAAAAGACCGGGAUGAAUUGGUGAAUUCAAAGCAGGCCUUGUUAAUGCUACGAGGCCCAAUGGGAUCCGCAUAAAUAUUUUUCGUUAUUAUUAUUUUAUUUUUAACAAACGAUAUUAUUUACGUGAGUUUAGUGUCAUAAUGGAUUAUCAAUAAUAUGGUUCAAAUUCGUUUUUGGCAAAAAUUGAACCUAUUCUACUUACAAAUGAAGAAGAAUACCAUUAGACUUUAGUACUAAGUGGUUUGUUAUUUUAUUUAUAUUUUAUGGAAAAUGAAAGAAAGCAAUGAACAGCUGUACGUAAACUAAAUACAUCAAGGAAUGAAAUGAAGAGGAGUGGGAGACUAACGUUAGAAAGGUAAACGCACCACGACGGCGGCGACAUGGCGGUCAUUUAACGGAAAAUAACAGACAAAUCAGCCUCCAGAUCAAGUGUUGAAGCAAAACUCUGAAAGAUCGAGACUACCUACAGCUGAGCUCCAACCGACCAACCGUUGAUGGAGGCAAUCAGGAAGCUCAGAGAUCAGGUCGCCAAGCAACAGCAGGUACUCUCUCUUGUUUGAUUCCGAAUUUGUAUUUAUGGAUUUUGAUAUGAACAUAAUCUGCGUUGAUUGCGAGAUACUGAGAUUGCUUAAUGAAAUAAUAUUUAUAUAAUUGUUCGAAUUGAAUUGGAUCGAUUCGAGUAGAAUUUCACUAUUUCUGAGCUGUUUGGGGCUGUGUUGGAGUGCAAUGUUGCUGAAUUUCUGAAAUUUUGUGCUAGGCGUUGCUAAUUGCUUAUCGAUUUUCGGAUUUAAUUGGAUGCUUAAUUUUUACAUUUUCGAAAAACUUCAAGCGAAAAUGGCAUAUAAUUCAACGUUCUAUGCUUUGUUAAUGCAUAAGAGUUAGUCGAAGUUUUAUCGAGUUUGCUUUUGAUUAUUUUGUGAACACCGUCAGGCUGUGUUCAAACAAUUUUCUGGUGGCAUAUACGGGGGAUCGGAUAAUGUUGCCUCGGAUGAAAAUGAAUUUCAACAGCAUCAGAAACUCGAGAAGCUGUACAUAUCAACUCGUGCUGCCAAGGUUGCUACGCUUAUUUUUGUCUGUGCUUUAAACGAGCAUCACGUUAGUUGUGUUACCUAUCGUUUUUUGCUUCUUUUUUAACAGCAUUACCAAAAGGAAAUUGUCCGCGGAGUGGAAGGUUACAUUGUGGCCAGUUCAAAGCACGGUGAAAUAGGUAUGUUGCUUGAAAUGCAUUGUCUUUUCUUGGGAGUUUGGAUAAAUUCAUGUUGGUUUUAUCAGUUGGUAUACAUAAUACUUUUUCAACAGGUACCAAGCUAUCAGAAGAUCGCAGGAAAUAUGGUUCUGAAAAGACUUGCAGCAGUGGUAACACAUUGUCGAGAGCUGCACUGAGUUUUGGAAGAGCUCGCGCCCAACUGGAAAAAGAGUGCGGAGUUCUUCUUAAAGCCCUUGGCACACAGAUUCAAGUCAAAUUAUUACUAACAAUGGCUCAUUAAGUAAAAAUCAAAUAUUGCCAGUGCCGGUUUCAUACAAAUGGAAUUUCAACUGACUAAUUUUCAUGUGCAUUUGAUAAUUUCGAAAGAAAUUUACAGUAAAAAUUGUUUCCAUUUUCACGUGUGGUUCAAGAACUGGACUACUUUUUGUGUUAUUAUGCAUCAUAUAACAAACCGGUUCACCAUUUCUAUCUAUAGGUUUGCAUAAUAACUCUUUCUGUGCUUAUCAAUUUGCCUCUGUAGGUUGCAGAGCCUUUAAAAGCAAUGAUAGUGAGAGCGCCCUUGGAGGAUGCUCGACAUCUAGCUCAACGAUAUGCUAGAAUGCGGCGAGAAGCUGAAGCUCAGGUAUAUGCAGUUUCUUCUGUUUCCUACCAAUUUUAUACUACAGUGAUUUUAUAUGUUACAUGGUGAUCGUACAUUUUCUCGGUUAACUUUUUUUGUUUUCUUUUAUAAGUGUUUGUUCAUUUUGAGACAAUCAUGCAUUGGUAUUCAUAGAGAACGCAAAAUCUUAAGAUAUUUAAUGUAAACUUGUUGAGAUUGCUUCAUUACUUGAAGCUUUGUUGUAAUUUGGUUUUUGGUUUUUUUAUUACUCCUUCAGAUUUGUCUAUAUAUACUAACUUGCACCGGGAUAGGCUAUAGAUGCUUCCAGACACUAGACCAAAGCACCGGAUUCUGCAGGUAAUGCUGAUAUUAUCAUGAAACUAGAAGCUGCUGAAGCCGAGCUUCAGGAGCUGCAGUCUAGCGUUGCAAUAUUGGGAAAAGAAGCUAGUGCAGCUAUGGCUGCUGUUGAAGGUCAACAACAAAGAUUGACUCUUCAGCGGCUUCUUGCGAUGGUAACGGAUUGCCUUCCCCUUUUUAUUUAAGUAUUAAGACCUUGGCCUGUUCUAGUUACAAGAAUAAAAAGGUCGUACCCAGUGCACAAGGCUCCCGCUUUACGCAGGGUCUGGGAGAGAUGAAUGUCGGCUAGCCUUACCCCCAUUUAUGAAGAGGCUACUCCCAAGGUUCUAGUUACAAGAAUGAAAAGGAAAUUAAUUUUGUAAAUUUAUCAUUUUUCGUCCCCAUUCCAGGUUGAAGCAGAGCGCAACUACCAUCCAAACAUUCUUCAGAUACUUGAUCAGCUUGAAGGCGAGGUGUGAAAUAUCCUAAAGUCUUCCUUUCAGCGUGACAAUUUCUUUUCCCAAUUCAUUUGGCUGUAUAUUAUUCUAGUGUCUUGCUACUAAAAGAAGAGAUCAUUGACACUAUUUGUUGGGACAGAUUUUGUCAGAAAAGCAGCGAAUUGAAGCAUCGCAUAGUCCGCCUACAGAGGACGCUAUGCCUCCACCACCAUCGUAUAAGGAUCUCAGCCGUAGCUUUGCUUCUGAAACCUAUGAUGAAUUGACAGAGUUGAGGGACUCUUUCUUAGGAGAGGUAUCUUUAUGCUAAUGUUGUUGUAUCCAAGUUUUAGUCUGUUCGACUCUUUAGUUUCUAGUAACUGUUUCUUUUCGCCUACCGCAGGUAAUGUACACCUUCCACACUGUAACUGAUGUGGAGUUAAGUUUGUCAUUCGGGGAUUACGUUGUCGUCCGGAAGGUUCUGUCAUCUUUCCUGCUUGCAUGCUUUCAUCUUAUAUUCAUGUUCGGAUUUAUUUCUUUCGUAUUGAGGUUAAAUUUUCAUGUUCAGAGACGUUCACUCAGGUAUGUUCGUCAAUGCAUAUGCAUUAGCACACCACCGAGUGUAUUAGAAUAUGGAUUUCAGUUUUGGGUGCUGCAUGCAUUAAUGUAGUUUGUGUGGUUUUGGUUAUUGCUGCCGCUGAGCGUGAGUGGCUUUCUGUAGUUGCUGAGAGUUAUAUUGUGAGCAUAAUUCAUACAGCAGCUUUCAUAUACGGCACAUGUAGUCGGCACUGCAUUUAGAAAGAGAAAGUUAUAUUUUCUUCACUGUCUAUUCAAAACUGUUGAUUGAUAAUAAUUGACUCAAGUGAAUGCCACAUCAUCUGCCACAUCAUCUGCCAUGUCAUUCAUAUUUCUGUUUUGAAACCUGUUGUUCCCUUGAUAGCCUUGAAUAUCACCAAUUCGGGAUCCUGCAUUUGAACUCUCUCCUUGUGAAUACCCGGAAUUCUGAUGACCACCUGUGACCUUAUCUCCUUGAACAUACAUUGCAGCCAUGCCACUUGCCAGCGUAGAGACCCUUGCUUCCAUAGCAGAUUCAACACCAAUCAACUGCGCUCUGAAAUCUUUCAGCGGAAUAGAAGUCUCCCUUGCUAAAACUACAGCCUUGACAAUAUCAAACUCCGGUGGUAAUCCAGAUAAAGCAGUAAUAACAAAAUCAUUAUCAGUAAUCCUCUCCCCUGCAGACACAAGCUGAUCCCGAAUGGCUUUCAACCGAAGCAAAUACUUGUCAAUAGAAUCACUGCCUUUUUGAAUUGUAUGAAACUCAAUUUUGAGUUGAUUAAUCCUAGCCCUGGACACAGACGCAUAGCGGUCUUGUAAAUUUAUCCAAGCUUCAUGAGACGUUUUACACCCUAUUACAUAUUCCAUAGCAUCAUCCGACAAAGUAGCAAUUAACAGACUCAAUAGGGCCAUAUCUUUCUGAACCCAAGAUUUAUAAGCUGCUGUGAUUUCUGUAGUCACUCCAUUCUCAGUGUUAACCACAAACUUUGGUGGACAAGGAGACUCACCAGUAAAGAAUUCAAAGAAAUCAUACCCUCGUAAAACCGACUGAAACUGAUAAUUCAACUUAACAAAAUUGUCAUCUUGCAACUUCACAGUCAACAUACCAAGCAAACUUUCAAUGCGUACUGAUUUAUCAGACAUCUUUAUCACAAAGUACUGACAAGAAAUCAAUCUCAAUCACAAAUAUGUUUAACUCCAAACUUCAACAAUGAUCACCUCUUCAAUAUAUUCUCACUACUUCUUGGCAUCGGCCUUCUAUAUGUAUAUACUUCAAAAGCUGAAAUUCCAGCAAUUUCGCAAAUGAACAACUGUAAUCAUAUCACACCACAACUAUAAUUCGUCUAUCUUCAACAAAUCUUGGCAUCAGCCUUAAUCAAAUCCAACACAUAACCCAUAUAUGAAAAACCAAAGAAAACAUUCCAAUUCACCAUAUAUCUUCACUGAAGCAAAAACGCAAACACUUGAUGUGCAAAGAAUAAGGAAAGAAACCAACAACUUGAUUGAAUGACCCUCAACCCAAAAUUCAUCAGCAAGCGUUCAAGCACUUCACCAAUCCUCCAAGAACUCCACCACAGCCUUCAACGAUCGAUCCCAAAGAAUUUCUCAGCGGAAGAAAAUACCCAAAAAAAAAAUCAACCUUGGCUCGAUACCAUCUUAACCAAGAAGAUCAGACUUGCAGAAAGAAAAAGAAAGAAACAAUACAGAGAAUAUAGAAGAAAACUUAGAAAGAAUAUGAAAGGUUUUGUAUUGAUAGAAUGAUAUUUUCUUACAAACAAUAAGCUGCAAUCAGCUUUUUAUAUCCCUAUAGUAGCCUAACUACCUUGCUUACUGUGUAAGCUACACAGCACCAUCCUAACUAACUUUCAACAGAAAUAUGAAUGACAUGGCAGAUGAUGUGGCAGAUGAUGUGGCCUUCACUUGAGUCAAUUAUUAUCAGUCAACAAAAACUUAUAUGUUGCAUGUUCUGGCUUUUAAAGUGAGUCGGCAUCAGAGUUUUUAUUUGAGAAAAAUCAGUUUUGUGUCCAUGUGUUUUCAAAGAAAAUAUUUUUGUUUUUAAUCACUGAUUUUUCAUUGUGCUUCAAUUAGAAAUCAAUUAUGAGAAUCUGCCUUGUGAUUUUCGUAAUUGGUUGAUUUCAAAAAAUCAUUACAUUUCAUACAUUCUGCAUGAUCGCGUUAGUAUCUUGCAAAGUUCGAGGACACAAUGAUUGACGGUCGCGUUAGUGUCGUGCCACUUUCACUUGAAGGCUGAAGAGAUCAAGUAGCAAAGCGCAAUGAAAAAAAUUGCCUACUAGUAUGUGGGUCUAGUUAAUGAGUUUUGUAAGUCUUUCCAUACUCAUUUCUCUUAUUGUUUGUUCUAGCUUAAGAGUCUGAGGAUUUUCUCAGUGGUGAGUUUUACCUUGUUUAAUUCUACAUCAUGUGUACACAUGUUAUUUGUCUUUUUAUUGCAAAUGUGUAGGAUAAUCUUUCACUUAUUUUCUUAUAGUGAACUCUAUCUUAGACAUUCAUCAACAUAUAGAGUUUACGACAGAGGACUUUUGCUACCAUAUUAUUCAGUGCAUUGAUUAAUUUGUAAAGCUCUCAUUUAUCCAAAUUAUAAAAUAUAAUCUGUACAAGACAUUAAAAAAAUGGAAGUGUCUUUCAACAGUUUGGAUGUCAUGUAUGGCCAUAUCCUUUAUUUCCAGAGUAAUGUUAUUCAUACCAUGUUUUUAUACCACAUUUAUAUACCACCUUAGGUGGCAUCUGAUGUGGACAACCACAUUAUUUGAAAAAUUUGCAAAACUCGAGAAAAUGAAGGAGAAAUACUCCUUGUAUGCCACAAUCAUAAUUUAAUUAACUAGUUUUUCUUAAUUAUUAGUUUAUUAAAUAAUGAACUAAAUUUAAAAAUCUGAUUAAUUGAAAUGAUGUGUCUGUUCACAUCAAAUGCCACCGAAUAUGGUAUGAAAAUAUUGUACAAAAACAUAAUAUAAAUAACAUUACUCUUAUUUCCACCAUUCUUAUCAACUGGAUGGGGAUAUAAAGACAUAAUGUGGCAAUCGUCCAUUAGAAAGGUAAUGUACGUUUUGAAAAUCGUGGCAAAUAUUGAAUGAGUAAUGACGCCUCUAAAAAUAAAAUUUAGUUAUUUGAAAGAAUCUUUCAUAAAAUAAAGUAACGAAUAAUCAACAAAAGUAGCAGUACACCAAGUUGAACCUUUUUCAACGUUGAAAUGAAAUAUGAAAGGAGAUCAAGUUGAUAUUAUUCAUCUACUUUUUUUUUUUUAAUAAACGAUAUUGUCUACGUUAAGAAAAUGGACUUGGCUAAGCCUCACAAUGGACUAGCAAUAAUAUGAUUCAAAUUCACAUUUAGCAAGAAUCAAACCAAAAGAAGAGAAAUAUUAUUAGACUGUAACAUUAUUCAUCCACUUUUAAAUAAUAAACAAUCAAGAAAAACACUGCACGCAGUCCCCUCUCGUCACUUACCACUAGUGCCAUCACUUCCCUGAGCAAAAGAGAUAUUUCCAAUUGCUUGACCAAAACAAGCAUUGAGUUCAUCCAUCAAUAACAGGUCCACAUCUCAACCCAAAUAUAAUGACGUCAAAGGAUAGGGGAAAAUGAGAAGGAAACUCUGGAGGGUAGAGGGAAGGAAAAGGAGAAAAGGACAAAGGAAGAAGGGAAAAGUAGAAAGGGAAGGAGGACAAUGAGAGGAAAUUUCGGAGAAUAGAGAAAAGGAGAAGGGAAAAGUAGAAAAGGAGAAAGGAAGGGAUAAGGGGAAGGAAGCUUAGGAGGGUAGGUAGAAGAAUGCAUAAAAAUAAAAAAUAAAAAAUAUAAAAGGAGAGUCGACUUCACCAUUAUGUCUACUAGCGGAAAGGAGCAACAUUGUAAAUUAUAUUUCGUAUAAUGAGAAAUUAGUAUUCCUACUUGAGGAUAUGACACAACUUGCCGAAUCUCGUUACGAUGCAGCAAGUUUAUAAUUGCACAACAAUUUGAUCAACCAUCUUAAGUUCAAGCAUACAUGUAUUAAGAUUCAAAUUUUUCCAGAUUUUCCUUAUGAAACUAACUGAACAUUACAAGUGCCACAUUAUUAUACGGUUCUAUCAAGUUUUAAUUAUUGUCUCAUAACCACAUCAUCUUUAGGACAAUAAUCUUGCGGUUGAAUAUAAAAACCUUCGACAUGGUGAUAUUGGAAACACUAGUUGGUGGGUUGAUUGGUAGAAAUGGUUCCAACACUUCAAGGAUGAGAAAUGAGUAUUGAGCAACGAUCAAAAUAUAUUGUAUUUUAUCACAAAAGAUGUGUGCAAUUAAAAGUGCAUUUUAUUACAAAAAAGAUGAGCAACGACCAAAAUAAUUGUUAUUUAUAAAAUCACACAUAAAACAAGAAGGAAUCUUUUCUUUUUCUUUUCAUCUCUGCCACUAGCGGCCGACCAUGACUUAAACCAUCUCCAACCCUUGGGCUAAAAGCCAAAUUUUUUAGCCCGGAAAAUUUAGCUUUUAACCUAGAAACAUCUUUCUACUCCAACCCUUCUACCCUAAAAUUUUAGCCCGGAAUUAUUAAAGAAUGAAAUUAGCCUAAAUUUUUUUCUUAAAUCAAUUUUUUUUUUAAAAUAAAUAUGUAGAUUAUUGUAAAUUAAUUUUAUGAACAUUUUAAUCUAAAAAAAUUUAAAUUCCGAUAAACAUUUCGCAUUUAGCCCGAGGAAAGCUGGGGGUAUUUGGCCCAGAAAUAGCAUUUAGCAUUUAGCCUAAAAUUUUAGCAUGGGUUGGAGAGUGUUUAGGGGGUAAUUUGGUAGGUAAUUUGGCUUUUAGCCGAAAUGGUCUUAAAGAAACGCUUUUUGGGUCAAUGGAUGGGAACGACCCAUUUUAUAAUAUUGUUUGUAAAUUUUUCUGGAAGUAGAUGGAAAAGACCGAUGUACAUAUUUCCCCUGCUCACAGACAUUUGCAUUGCACCUAGCAAACACCAGUUUUUUUGUUUGAACAUCGAUCCACAUCAAUGGCUCUUGUGAGAACAUCUCCAGGAACCUCCUCUGAUUCCAACACUUUUCGGAGUUAUCGCUACGACGUGUUCUUGAGCUUCAGAGGCGAAGAAACUCGCAAGACUUUUACCGACCACCUCUACACAGCCUUGAACAACGCAGGAUUUCUUACGUUCCGAGACGACGAUGAACUUGAGAGAGGAGAAUAUAUAAAGCCAGGACUGCAGAAAGCGAUCCAGCAGUCGCGAACUUCUGUUGUUGUGUUUUCGAAAGAUUACGCGUCAUCCAGGUGGUGUCUUGAUGAGCUUGUGCUGAUCCUUGAACGCAAGAGGACCACCUCGGACCAUGUAGUUUUACCAGUCUUCUACGAUGUCGAUCCGUCCCACGUGAGGAAGCAGACAGGAAGUGUUGGAAAAGCAUUUGCUAGAAGCCAGAAAAAUCAGUCGUCAGAAAAGGUGGAGGGAUGGAGGAAGGCACUUACAGAGAUUGCAGACCUAGCAGGCAUGGUCUUACAAAAUCAAGCUGAUGGGUAACUUUCAUUAUCUCCAUUUCUCAUUUCUUUCUUGGGUCAAUUUGAUGUAUGAUCCGUAGGGACCUAGAUUUGUAUGUAUUUAUUAAUUCAAUCUCAGUAGUGAAUAAUAAUCUCAAUUUAGGUCAACUUAUAGAAAUCACACUCAACUCAACUGAAGGAUUAGUCAUCUUCAAUGUUAAUCUACUGGUUUCCAGUUGCUUAAAUUUUUUUGAAAGCUGGUGUGGAAAAAAGUUUGGAUAAAUUAUGCGCUGUAUUCCUUUCUCUGUAACUUGAUAUGUGAUGUAUUUGUCUAUAGUUCGUAUAAAUUAUGCGCUGUAUUCCUUUCUCUUUUUUUUUUCAAUUUAAUUUUGUCAGCAGUCCUCUUUUUUUUCUUAUUUAAACAAAGGCAAUCAACAUAUGUUUUAGUUAUCUAAUUUCCCCAAUUCAUUUUUCAUUUUGUUUGCAAAUUCUUAGGUACGAGUCAAAGUUUAUCAAAAAAAUUGUUAAAGUGAUAGGAGACAAGUUAAGUCGCAUGCCAUUGAGUGUUGAACCAAAAUUGAUUGGAAUUCAAUCUCAAGCCGAGCGCAUCAAUUUGUGGUUCCAAGAUGGAUCAAGUGAUGUUGGUAUAUUUGUUGUGUAUGGCAUGUCUGGAAUAGGGAAGACAACCAUUGCAAAACAUGUUUACAAUUCAAACUUUGGAAGCUUUCAAGGAAGUAGUUUCAUUGAAAAUAUCAAAGAAACAGCAGAUCGACCAAAUGGCUUAGUUCAAAUACAAAUGCAACUUCUUUGUGAUAUUUUGAAUGGCAGAGAAGUGAAAAUACACAGUGUUAGUGAGGGAAUAAUUAAGAUUGAAAGGGCCAUAAGCUCUAAAAGAGUUCUACUUGUUCUUGAUGAUGUUGACCAUAUGGACCAAUUAGAUGCAAUCCUAAGGAUGAAAGAUCAGUUUUAUCCUGGAAGUAAGAUACUAAUAACAACUAGGUGUGAAAGGUUGUUAAAGGCAGAUCAAGUUACAGAGGUGCACAGAGUUCAAACUUUGGAUGACAAUGAAUCAUUAAAGCUUUUCAGUUGGCAUGCUUUUGGCCAGGACCAUCCCAUAGAAGAAUACAUGGAGCACUCAAAACAGCUAGUGCAACAUAGCGGCGGACUUCCAUUAGCUCUAAAAGUUUUGGGUUCUUCUUUAUCAGGAGGAAGUAUAGGUGUAUGGGAAAGUGCAUUGGAGAAGCUAAAAGUUAUUCCUGAUGGUGAAAUCAUGACUAAACUAAGAAUAAGCUAUGAAAGUUUAAAAGAUGACCAUGACCGGAAAUUAUUCCUCCACAUUGCUUGUUUCCUAAUAGGAAGGAACAAAAGCUACAUUGUUAGAAUAUUCGAUGGAUGUGAUUUCUAUACAAUCAUUGGCAUGCAAAAUCUCAUUGAUAGAUGCUUGGUGACACUUGAUGAAUACGGCAAGGUGAAAAUGCAUGACAUGAUUCGUGCUAUGGGAAGAGAAAUUGUUCGCCAAGAAUCAGAAGAGCCUGAGAAACGUAGUAGAUUAUGGCGCCAUAAGGAUUCUUUCCAAGUAUUGAGGAAAAAGAAUGUAAGAAACAUGCCUUUUAUGUCUAUAUAUGUAUUUCUUCUUGUGAAAAUUAUGCAUAAUAAUGUCUUUUUUUUUCCUUUAGGGUACAAAAAAAAUCCAAGGUCUUGUCCUGGAUAUGCGUAAUCAUCCUGCAAACAAUCCAAUAAACACAAAUGAGAUAGUCUUGGAAACCAAUGCAUUUGCAAAGAUGCGUAAUUUACAACUACUCCAUCUUAGUCAUGUACGACUGGAUGGAUGUUAUGCAGAUUUCCCUACAGGAUUAAGAUGGUUGUGUUGGCUUGAAUUUCCUUUGGAUUCUAUACCAAUUGAUUUUCCUUUGGAGAACGUAAUUGUUCUUGAAAUGCAAUACAGUAGCUUGAGACAAGUAUGCAAAGGAACAAAAGUAUGUUACUCUAUACAUUUCAAUUCAUUUUACUUAUUUUGUUAGUUUUUUAUUUGUUGAGUAACUCCAUGUGUUAAAAUGAAUUACUAUGUUUUCUUUAAUUCGAUGACUAAUUUUUUAUGUUAGAUACUUAUUUCAUUGUUCUUUUUUCUUUUCUUUUUUUUUUCCUCUAUUUCCACAGUUUCUUCCAUCGUUGAAGAUCCUUGACAUCAGCCAUUCUCAAUGCCUUAGUGAAACCAUUGACUUCUUUUCCCCAAUCUAGAGGAACUGAUUCUUGUAGAUUGCACAAGCCUGAAGAAUGUUCAUGAAUCCAUUGGAAACCUGGAGAGACUCGUGUACUUGAAUAUGAAGGAUUGCAAGAAUCUUAGGAUGCUUCCGAAGAACAUGUGCAUGCUUAAAUCACUUGAAACACUCAUUUUAUCUGGUUGCUCAAAUCUUGAUGAGUUUCCAGUGGAGAUGAUGAAGAAGAUGGAGUCUCUGAAAGUUCUUCAGACAGAUGGAAUUGCAAUAGGUGAAUUGUCGCCAGAAAGAUGUUUGAGUUCUUUUCCAUGCUCUUUAGUAGAGUUAAGUCUGAAGGGGUGCAAUCUUUCUGAUGAUGUCUUUCUUACGGAUUUAAGUAAUCUAUCCUACUUGAGAAGACUACAUUUGGAUGAGAAUCCAAUUUGCAGUCUGCCAGUUUUCAUCAAAGGUUUGAGGAGGAUCGAUGAACUCUCUUUCAAGGGUUGUGAUAGGCUCGAAUCCCUUGUGGGGUUGCCGGAAGUACACCAAAGGAUGAGUAUAGUCGGAUGCAUAUCAUUAAAAAAAAUAACUUUUCAUUCCCCUAAGCAAUUGUAUCCAAUAUAUGUGGGUGACAACUGGAAUCUUGUUGAGUGGGGGUGCUAUUACAAAUUAGAGCCUAUUGAUAGAGUUGAUGUGGAAAUGAUCAAACUUUUGGGCUUGUGCAACUUGGAAUCCAUGCCAGCUGUUCAAAUGCAUUAUCCAGACUCAGACAGCGAUCCAAAAGAGGUCCCCGUCCAGGUGCGCCUUUCUUUCUCUCUCUCAUAAGUCUUAAAUAUAUAAUGGGAAAGAAAUGACUGAGUAAUAUUGUGAUGACUGUGGCAAAUACAUAGGGACUCUAUGAAUGUGGUAUAUUCAGCACGUUUUUUGUUGAGAAUGAGGUCCCAGGCCGGUUCAGCUAUAAAAGUACCAAGUCCUCGAUAUCUUUUAUUGUCCCUUUACUACUUGCUAGUCACAGAAUUCGAGGCUUGAACAUCUUUGCUACCUAUGCAAAGGAAAAUUCAAAUAAUUAUUUUACUAGACCUGGCAUUGCUCCAAUAAUGAUCAAAGUGAGAAACAAGAGUAAGGGUCUGAAGUGGAUCUAUGGCCCAAUAUUCUAUGGUAUCCCAGGUGACGGAGAAGAUAUGAUAUGGUUGAGCCAUUGGAAGAUGGAGAAUAAAACAAUAUUACAAUGUGGAGAUGAAGUGGUGGUUUCGGUAAUAACCGGACCAUGUGACUUGUUUUGGGUAAAGGAGUUUGGUGUCGAGCUUGUGCCAGAGCACCAAGACAAGAUGAGUACCCAACACAACACCAAAUCAGAUCCUAAUUAUCCACUUGUUAUCGGUGGAGAUUUGGAGACGUGGAAGUGCAGACCGGGAAUAUACUUCCUUGGUGGUCGGACAAGUACAGAUACUGACGACAUUGAUAUCCUCACCAUGGACUCUGAUGAAGAAGACACAAGUAUGUUGUGUUGUUGUAUUGCAUUGAAUUAUACUCCAUCGAAACACUUCCAGGUGUGUCUGUAUUCAUUUCAAAAACGUUUCAAUAAAUUUUAUGUUAUUUAUAUGUUUUUCAGACGAAGAAGGGCAAGAGGAUGAAUCUGAUUACACAAUUGCAAAAACGAGGGCUGCUAGCAAUAACUGCAGUUUGAGAGGCUGGAAGGUGCACCUCACGGCUGUCGGCUUCUUUUUCGCGCUUGCUCUAGUAAGUUGGUCCUCCCACUCCCGAAAAAAGAAGCGACAGUCGUCCACAAGCCCACCAUGAGUUUGUAAUUUGACUUGAUAUGGAUAUAUCUUUGCAUUCCUUGCUCUCAAGAUGUUUUCUACCUUCAAAACUUCAGGUUCAGAGCUAAGCAUUCUUAACCGCUUGAGAUAUAAAUGCCCUUUGUAACUAGAUACCGAAGUUCAAAUGUGUUCAACUCCAUCAAAUAUAGCAUAAAAUACAUCCAGCAUUGAAUGCAUGUGUUUUGAACUACAAGAAAUCUUAUACAUUGGGUAGACCGUAUAGUGUAUCACAUUCAAAUGCAAUUAUUCAUGAAGAUGAAGUAUGAGAUGCCCUAAUUGUUUUACCAGAAGAUGCUGGAUCAAUUGUCUCAAAAAAUUAUUUCGGUAAUUGUUGGUAAAACUCAAAGUUAUCCAAAAGUUUGGGGUCAGCAUAAGCUUAUGCAUCAGCAUCAGAUUGUGUCUCCUAUCAGACUGAAGGAAUAAAAUUACUCAAUUUGUGCA
rnacentral:lncRNA from 1 species